GGCCUGUAGCUUAGUGGUAGAGCGCUUGCCUAGCAUGCUAUGAGGAACUGGGUUCGAUCCUCAGCAUCA
rnacentral:tRNA from 1 species